GUGCUCAUGCUAUCAGUAAAAAUCUAGUUAUCACAAACCAUCCAACCUUCUCAAGAGGAACAUCUAUUUUCCUGUGAACUUGAAAAUGUCAGUCAGGUGCCGUUUUAUAUUCAAGCAUCUGAGGAGUUUUAUUUUGUGGCAUCGUGACCAGGUCUUUUCCCUUUCUAUGACAAAAAUCCAUUGCCUAUCUGCUUGAAAUAUACUGA